GUCCAGUCCCGCAUACCGUAUCAUGGCUGACAGCAAGUUUGCUCCCUUCGUUGUGACGAUCAUGUCACAGGAGUUAUGUAUGGCUGUCAUUUCUAACUCUGGCAUUGGAGUUUGAAGUCAGCAGAGCAGGCAGUCAAGAAGGAAAGACGUGAAAUAGGAGAGAAAAACAGCAGACAAAUCCAAGACUGUGGGCUGGAACCUGCAAGGACAAACUGGAAGCCCCAUCAGCGUCUGUUUUGAAGCCUCCAACAUCACUGAUGCAAGUGACCUGCAGGAGAAAUUAGCAUGCUUCAUCAUAUUGCUAAGCAUGCACCUGACUUGGGAGCUGGGAACCUGAGGGAGGUGGUCUUCCUGGGAGCUGAAGGAGCUGUGCGCCUGGCUUCUGGCUGUGUCCACGAGCAUGCUAAGAAAUCGUCAGUAUGUUUCUACCCCUGCUUCCUGCUGCUACUAGCUGGAGAAUGAGAGAAUGGCAGGCAAAGACACAGGAGACUGGAACAUUAGGAAAAUAUUUCAUAUGGGCCCACAUAUUUCAAGCCCAUCAUUAUUCAAUUGAGGAGUUUGAUGUUCCUGAGGAGAGGGAAAUUAUUGCCUCCGAAGAGCUUUGCUGGCAGAAAGGAAAAUAUCACUGCGAUGGUGGUGUACUAAUUAUUUUCAAGUCUGUGCGGGACUCUAAAGCAGGAAGACGGAGAGAACGUUUAUUACAUCUCUCAAGCCCUUCAUUUGGGAAGGGGGGGCUGGUGAUGGGGAGGUAACAAGCUUACCAGGACUGAAGAGAAAUUGUUAUUCUUCAAAGCGCCUUCUCACGAAGGUUUCAAAAUUGUAGAGAAUCUCUUAGAUUCUGAGCGUCCGGGGGUCAGGAGGCCGGGAGUGGCUGUGCUGGCUCCUCCUUUCACUGCUGCUCUUUCCAAAUUUAUUCCUAAGUCAUGAAUACUAUCAUGCCGAGAAAAGGAAAGACGGUUAACUCUAGAAGAAAGAAUUCCAAGGAGGGUAUGAUGUAGGGACAGUUCCCACCAGAGGGGAAAGGCAAGUGCGAGAAGAGGAAAGGGACUUGGCAGAAUAAAUACUGAAGUAAAGAUAAAGCCUGAGACUCUCAGCAUCCCAAUGCUCCCUCCUGUGGGCUCCAGAUGCACUGAGAGGGAAACCAAGGACAAGAUGGGUGGUGGCUGAGAGUGAAUGGUGAAGAGUGAGGUGACUGCUGAGUCCCUGACAAUCGGUGCAAUAAGAAAGAGCUGAAUUGGUACCAAGACAGCAAUGUGGGAACACCAAGUCUUUACUGUGAUAAGAAGACGGCCCUUGAGUUAGAGCAUCUAUGAACACUUCAGAAAUGGAUGCAAGGAGGGCAAAGCCCAGUGCCUAGAGAACAGGCAACAUGAGCUCCAUUUCACCUAUGGAUCAACGGAAGCCGUGAAGAAAGAGAACAUGGAGACAGGAGACUCCCUGAGGCUAUGUGAGCUCCGCUUUGUGUCCAGAUGCCAUCUUUGGAAGAAGAUGAGAGAGGGAAAGCUCUUUCAGAAAGAAAUGCAAACCUCGUUUUACCCCCAAAGGAGACUGUUUACAAUAGGAGAGACUUUAUUAGUUGUAAUUAGAAAGUUUGAAAUAGUUUCUGCCAUCAGUGGAAAUGAGUGGCAAAAAGUUUCUAUUUGUUAUAGAAAUAGAGAAGCGAAAUUCCAUGCACACUUCAGGUUGUAUUGCACUAAAUUUUGAUCCUAUGCUUCAUGCAUUAUUUCAUUUAACCAUUCCAUAAACUCUAUUAUUAUUCCCAUUUUAGAGCAGACCAUACUGAGAUUAAAGGAAUCUAGAUAACUUAGGCAACAUCACAAAGCUAGUAAGUCAUAGAUGUGAAAUUCUGUUUGACCCGAAAGCUGCCUAUUUUAAUCAUCUAGUUUACAAUAGAGGAUAUAUAUUAUUUCUGUGACAAUUUAAGUGACACCAAUAGACUUCAAAUAGAGUCAGCAUAUGAAUUUGUCAUUGGAUAUUCACAGAAUAUGUUAAUUUUUAAAGUUUAAAGGAGAAUGUUGAACCAACAGUUGGUUUUCUUUUUAUCUCUGUCCUCAUCAGGACUCAGUUAUUGAUCCUGCCUACAGACAAAAAGUCAGGCUCCCAUGAAAGUGUUUUCUUCAGAAUCCUUCUAACCCCUCAGA
rnacentral:lncRNA from 1 species